AGGGUAGAGUCACAUGGGGUAACCAAAUUGGCCCGGUUGCUAGGGAGGGUAGAGUCACAUGGGGUAACCAAAUUGGCCUGGUUGCUAGGGAGGGUAGAGUCACAUGGGGUAACCAAAUUGGCCCAGUUGCUAGGGAGGGUAGAGUCACAUGGGGUAACCAAAUUGGCCCGGUUGCUAGGGAGGGGUAGAGUCACAUGGGGUAAACAAAUUGGCCCGGUUGCUAGGGAGGGUAGAGUCACAUGGGGUAACCAAAUUGGCCCGGUUGCUAGGGAGGGUAGAGUCACAUGGGGUAACCAAAUUGGCCCGGUUGCUAGGGAGGGUAGAGUCACAUGGGGUAACCAAAUUGGCCCGGUUGCUAGGGAGGGUAGAGUCACAUGGGGUAAGCAAAUUGGCCGGUUGCUAGGGAGGGUAGAGUCACAUGGGGUAACCAAAUUGGCCCGGUUGCUAGGGAGGGUAGAGUCACAUGGGGUAACCAAAUUGGCCUGGUUGCUAGGGAGGGUAGAGUCACAUGGGGUAACCAAAUUGGCCCAGUUGCUAGGGAGGGUAGAGUCACAUGGGGUAACCAAAUUGGCCCGGUUGCUAGGGAGGGGUAGAGUCACAUGGGGUAAACAAAUUGGCCCGGUUGCUAGGGAGGGUAGAGUCACAUGGG